rnacentral:rRNA from 1 species
UACAGAGGGUGCAAGCGUUGUUCGGAAUUAUUGGGCGUAAAGCGCGUGUAGGCGGCCAUGCAAGUCGGGUGUGAAAGCCCUCGGCUUAACCGAGGAAGUGCGCCCGAAACUGCACGGCUCGAGUACCGGAGAGGAUGGCGGAAUUCCCCAAGUAGAGGUGAAAUUCGUAGAUAUGGGGAGGAACACCGGUGGCGAAGGCGGCCAUCUGGACGGAUACUGACGCUGAGACGCGAAAGCGUGGGGAGCAAACAGG